GUGCUCGCUUCAGCAGCACAUAUGCUAAAAUUGGGAUGAUACAGAGAUUAGCAUGGCCCCUGCGCAAGUAUGACAUACAAAUUUGUGAAGUGUUCCAUAUUUUU